CACGGCCCGGCACCGCCGCGGGCACCGCGCACACAACGGAGAGACACCGCGGCUACCCCGGGAUGGGCUCUGCGUGAGAAGUGAAGAUAGAAAAAUCAACAGACGGGAAAUAAUGAGGAAAUGGAGGGUAACCAAGAAAAAGAAGGCGGUAAUAAAUACAGGUAUGUGACAAAACUCCUAUGAACAGACAGCAAGGGCAGGGCUUGGCAUAAACUGCAAGUUUGAUAGAACAGCAGAAUUAGACCCAACAUGAGAAGCCCCAUAUGCAAGUAAAAUUCAGUGGAAUUUCAGUCAACACCAUGAGUAAACAUAGCAAUUACAGUACUAAAAAAUGGCAA